UGAUGGAAGGUGACAAGUGCCUUCAACUUGAUUAUGGAGAAGCACUGAACCUCCCGCCCAGGUGCUGCCCUGACACUGUGGAUUCAUGAGGCAGUGUGGGCCUCUAGUGCAGUGAUUGACAGCUUGAGAUGUCUUGGUGCCAUUAUUUUAAAGAUAGGAUAAAAAAGCUAAGGAUUGAUUAAAAUUCAUUUACUACUCAAAUAUAUGUCUCCUUUUCCAUCUAAGAAACUUGCUAAAUCAUGCCAGAGUUCAUGGUCCCAGAGCACCUUCUAAACAUUUGAGGAGGCUGCAUCUCCUAUCACUGUCAUGGACCACCACCAGGGGGCAGAUGAGAGCACCCCAGGACCCUGUGUUCAGGCGCCCAUCCUCCAGGGCUGGGAAGAGGAAGAAGGGGACACAUGGUCAGACCUCCCCAGAGAAGGAGGUGUGAGGCCAACGCUGAAGAUGCUGCUGCUCCUGCUGCUUCUGGGGCCCACAGGCUCUGGGCUUGGUGCUCAUGUCUCUCAACAUCCAAGCAGGGCCAUCUGUAAGAGUGGGACCUCUGUGAAGAUCGAGUGUCGCUUUGUGGACUUCCAGGCCCAAGUUGUGUUUUGGUACCGUCAGUUCCCCAAACAGAGUUUUGUGCAGAUGGCAACCUCUAAUGUGGGAUCUGAGGGCACCUACGAACAAGAUUUUGACAAGAAGAACUUUCCCAUAAGUCACCCCAAUGCCUCCUUUGCAUCUCUGAUGUUGACCAUCGCACAUUCUGCAGACAGCAGCUUCUUCUUCUGUGCUGGUGACACAGUGCUGGGUGGAAGUCAGAGACCUAGGCAAGAAGGGUUGCAGCAGCCUUCCCCUCCCCCACAGACCCCAGGGGCCCUGUGGGAGGAGCCUGGGGGAGGGAAAACCACAGCUUCUGUGAAUGAGACCUCUGGGAGCAUGUAUCUAGAGCUGUAG